UCACGCGGCCCGCGGGCCGCACAGAAUUGGAGGCUGCUCACCCGGGGACCUUGCGUUGCCGCCGCCGCCUGCGCUGGUGCCUCUGGGCUGUUGCGGUGUUGCACCGCCUGGCCUCUCGGUCGGGCCUGGGGAAAGGUGGGGUGCAGGGGCCGGGGCCAGCGGGGUGCCCCGCACGGUCACUGGGCUCUCCGCGAAGCGCAGAGACCGCGAGGACAAGGGGAAGCUGAGGCUGUGUCGUGGGCCCCAAAUCGUUCCCCGUGCGCUCCUGGGUGUCUUCGCGCGUCCCCGGGCUGGUAACGGACCCAAAUAUGGAAUUUGUGGAGGACAAAGAAGGUAGAUACUUGAGGCCUUGGCUCUACAUAUAAAAACCUGAACCAUGGAGGAGCAAAUGAAUGGCAACAUCUCAAGUGGAGAUUGAGGGACGUGGCUAAAGAACACUGCAGCACACUGUGCCUGGUACAUAUGUUUUUAGAAACUGAACCACUAUGGAAGUUUUCUUCUCUAUGAAGCAUCUGUAAAUAUAGCCUCUUAAUGUUUAA